CCAUGGGGCAGGCUCUGGGCCCUGGAUGUCUCCCCCCACAUCUCGGAGCAGUGGUGGUGUAUGCCGCCUUUGUCUUCCAGGGCUUCGGAAAGGCAGCUCAAACGACAUGCGGGCCUCCCUCAUGCUGACGAGUGCUGUGGACAAUUCGGAUGACAGUCAGCCACUGCGCCCAAGGGAGCUCCGCGCUCAGAAGCUCCCUGUCAGAUGCCAGGGGACAUGGCACCUUCCUUGUGGGGUCUCACUCUUCCUGCUCGAUCUCUCCAGCAGCCGUGUAUUGCUCCUGCAGUGUGGAGGGAGCAAAGCCAGCUCUGCAGCUGCCGUAGAUCUGCUCUUUCCCAAGAGGCAAAUGCAGCUCUGCUCCACUGUGCAUUCUCUGCAAGUUGGGUACACGCAUCGCUUGAACCAGAAACAUCAACUUAAAAAUGGCUGUGAUGGCGGCGCCUGGGUGGCGCAGUCGUUAAGCGUCUGCCUUCGUCUCAGGGCGUGAUCCCGGCGUUAUGGGAUCGAGCCCCACAUCAGGCUCCUCCGCUAUGAGCCUGCUUCUUCCUCUCCCACUCCCCCUGCUUGUGUUCCCUCUCUCGCUGGCUGUCUCUCUCUCUGUCAAAUAAAUAAAUAAAAUCUUUAAA
rnacentral:lncRNA from 1 species